GAUGAACGCUGGCGGCGUGCCUAACACAUGCAAGUCGAACGAACCUAAUCUUCGGAAAGGGUUAGUGGCGCACGGGUGAGUAACACGUAGGUGACCUGCCCCGGAGUGGGGGAUAACUUCUCGAAAGAGAGGCUAAUACCGCAUACGCUCGAUCAUUCGUUUGGUUGAGUAAAGUUCCGGCGCUUCGGGAGGGGCCUGCGUCCGAUUAGCUAGUUGGUGAGGUAAUGGCUCACCAAGGCGAUGAUCGGUAGCUGGUCUGAGAGGACGAUCAGCCACACUGGCACUGACACACGGGCCAGAAUCCUACGGGAGGCAGCAGUGAGGAAUAUUGGUCAAUGGGCGAAAGCCUGAACCAGCAACGCCGCGUGAGGGAUGAAGGCCUUCGGGUCGUAAACCUCUUUUCUGGGAGAAGAGA
rnacentral:rRNA from 1 species